rnacentral:rRNA from 1 species
UACGAAGGGAGCUAGCGUUGUUCGGAAUCACUGGGCGUAAAGCGCACGUAGGCGGAUGUGUCAGUCAGGGGUGAAAUCCCGGAGCUCAACUUCGGAACUGCCCUUGAUACAGCACGUCUUGAGUCCGGAAGAGGUGGGUGGAAUUCCUAGUGUAGAGGUGAAAUUCGUAGAUAUUAGGAAGAACACCGGUGGCGAAGGCCGGCCCGACUAGGUCCGGGUCGACUGACCGGCU